AUUGAACGCUGGCGGCAGGCCUAACACAUGCAAGUAGAACGAGUGGCGGACGGGUGAGUAAUGUCUGGGAAACUGCCUGAUGGAGGGGGAUAACUACUGGAAACGGUAGCUACUACCGCAUACCAUCGGAUGUGUCCAGGUGGGAUUAGCUAGUAGGUGGGGUAACGGCUCACCUAGGCGACGAUCCCUCGCGGGUCUGAGAGGAUAACCAGCAAGACUGGAACUGAGAGACGGUGCAGCCUCCAACGGGAGGCAGAGGUGGGGAAGAUGGCACAAUGGGCGCAAGCGUGAUGCAGCCAUGCCGCAUGUAGAAAGAAGGCCUUCGGGUUUUGGAGUACUUUCAGCGGGAAGGCGUUGCCCGCAGAAGAAGCGCCGGCUAACUCCGUGCCAGCAGCCGCGGUAAUAC
rnacentral:rRNA from 1 species